rnacentral:rRNA from 1 species
GGUAAUGCCGGAUGCUCCAGUUGAUCGCAUGGUCUUCUGGGAAAGCUUUCGCGGUAUGGGAUGGGGUCGCGUCCUAUCAGCUUGACGGCGGGGUAACGGCCCACCGUGGCUUCGACGGGUAGCCGGCCUGAGAGGGCGACCGGCCACAUUGGGACUGAGAUACGGCCCAGACUCCUACGGGAGGCAGCAGUGGGGAAUAUUGCACAAUGGGCGCAAGCCUGAUGCAGCGACGCCGCGUGAGGGAUGGAGGCCUUCGGGUUGUAAACCUCUUUUAUCGGGGAGCAAGCGAGAGUGAGUUUACCCGUUGAAUAAGCACCGGCUAACUACGUGCCAGCAGCCGCGGUAAUACGUAGGGUGCAAGCGUUAUCCGGAAUUAUUGGGCGUAAAGGGCUCGUAGGCGGUUCGUCGCGUCCGGUGUGAAAGUCCAUCGCUUAACGGUGGAUCCGCGCCGGGUACGGGCGGGCUUGAGUGCGGUAGGGGAGACUGGAAUUCCCGGUGUAACGGUGGAAUGUGUAGAUAUCGGAAA